UGAAGUGUUUCCUGGAAUGUUUGCUUGUGGAUCCCGAGUGAGGCAUUUUCUCUAACCUGUUUUCUCUUUUAUGAGUCCUAAGGGACCAUGGGAGGCUUCGGGGAGGCUGAUCUUUGCGGACGGACACGCAAGGGUGCCGCACGACUUAGGCAAAACCAGCUAAGUCCGUGACUUAGGCAACGAAACUUUUCCUCAUUAUUAGAAUCUCUGGAAAGAUGAGGAGAGCUAUUGAUGUUUCUGUUAAGAAAGAGUUUAGGAUAGUGAUCUGAUUGGGGCUUUAUGCAAUUUUUAAUUUCCUGCAAUUUUGUGGAAUUCAAACAUGUUUAAGAAAACAGAAAGAUUUGGAUACAGAAUGAGAUCUACAUUCAUGUAUGAACUAUGGUCAAAUGUGAUCUUAAGGAGAAAUAUAAAUCGUGCAAAUCGGAAUCUGUAGCAAACACUGUAAAUGCUAAUGUGUACUGAAAUAAAGACUUUGCAGAUAAUGUGUUGUAAAAGAGAUGAUGCACAGACUAUAUUUUCGACAUAGAGAUCUGAAACUGUUCAGUCCUACCUGUUGGAAAGAAUAAAAGACAAGAAGAAUUAUUGAAGAAGCUUUAUUGAAGAAGCUUUAAUGCAUUAACAUGUUUCUCUCCUAUUUAUACAGAUUUGGAGGGAAGAUUUCCCUCAACAGAAUAGAGGAUUUUCGUCGUAUAGAUGGGGAAAUCUUAUCUGCUAUCAUGCCCCCACAAGAUGGUGCUCCUGUCAAGGAUACCAAUCUUGGAUCGAUGAAAAACAAACAGUUUACAAGCUAGAGGCUUUGUGAGUAGAGCAAGAGCAGAUCGCUACUGCUAUUGUUGCUAUUGCUGCGGUUGCGAUAGCGACGACGAGUAGAGGUGCAGCAGAGGAGGUAGCUACAAGCAGCAGAGGUGUAAUAGAAGAGAAAGUUGUAGCAGAGGUGCAGUAGAGGAGAAAGCUGCAGCAGUGGUGCAAUAGAGGAGGAAACUACAGUAGAGGUGCAGCAGAGGAGAAAGCUGCAGCGAUGCUAUAGUAGAGGAGAAAGCUGCAACAGAAGUGCAAUAGAGGAGAAAGCUACAGUAGAGGAGCAGUAAUGCUAUAACAGAGAAGAAAGCUGUAGCAGAGGUGGAAAAACCUGGUUAGUGCAAGCAACGCCGGUAAAGAAGAAGGCCCCAUGGAGGAGAAGAGGGAAGGAGCGGGCAAGGGAUGUGGUGAAUGGCAAGCUUCGAUGACCAUAGAGCCUCGCUCGACUCACCUGCUCUGAUACCAUGUUGGAAAAAAUAAAAGACAAGAAGAAUUAUUGAAGAAGCUUUAUUGAAAAAAGCUUGAAUACAUUAACAUGUUUCUCUCCUAUUUAUAUAGAUUAGGAGAGAAGAUUUCCCUCAACAGAAUAGAGGAUUUUUCUCGUAUAGUUGGGGAAAUUUUAUCUGCUAUCACUACCAUCUACGGUGUCAUGAAUGUUACCUUUGCUAUGAUCGCGGAGUAGGAUUCUACACACAUUUGAGCGGCAAAGGACAACUAGAGAUUGCGAUAAGUGGCACUAAGCAUAUGGACAUGGUAGAAGGUGAGGAAGUCAAUGUAUGCAGUCACAUGGAGAGGCAGAAAAAACCUAGAAAGUCACACAUCAAAUUGCCAGAUGAAGCUGCCCUAGGCAACCUUUUUUAUUUUUGUUUUUUGUUAUUUGUUCUUGUUCCUUCCUCCACUCUUCAUCUCCUCUUGUGUACAGUUCCUUGGACGAUUAAACUCUUGGUUCGAUGGUGCAUAUGAUCCUGGAUAAUCAUUCUGUGAGUUUUACUAGAUGUGUAGUGAUUUUGCAAUGGCAG
rnacentral:lncRNA from 1 species